rnacentral:rRNA from 1 species
GACGAACGCUGGCGGCGUGCCUAAUACAUGCAAGUUGAGCGCUGAAGGUUGGUACUUGUACCAACUGGAUGAGCAGCGAACGGGUGAGUAACACGUGGGGAAUCUGCCUUUGAGCGGGGGACAACAUUUGGAAACGAAUGCUAAUACCGCAUAAAAACUUUAAACACAAGUUUUAAGUUUGAAAGAUGCAAUUGCAUCACUCAAAGAUGAUCCCGCGUUGUAUUAGCUAGUUGGUGAGGUAAAGGCUCACCAAGGCGAUGAUACAUAGCCGACCUGAGAGGGUGAUCGGCCACAUUGGGACUGAGACACGGCCCAAACUCCUACGGGAGGCAGCAGUAGGGAAUCUUCGGCAAUGGACGAAAGUCUGACCGAGCAACGCCGCGUGAGUGAAGAAGGUUUUCGGAUCGUAAAACUCUGUUGGUAGAGAAGAACGUUGGUGAGAGUGGAAAGCUCAUCAAGUGACGGUAACUACCCAGAAAGGGACGGCUAACUACGUG